AAGCCCUCUUGACCCGAGCUCUUCUCUUCCAUAAUAUCUCCUAAACCCAAACAAACUCCUGUUUUAAUCGGGGAAAAGCCACCUGAGAUUGGCAAUAUGGAAUAUGAUGGCCUUCCUAGCGCGGACCCAAAUGAUGAGGAUUAUGAAGCUUCACAGGGAGAGUACUCUACUCUAAUUCUGAUGAGGGCGAUCAUGGUUUCAUAACUGUAAGGAUUUAUUAUUCUCAUUUCUUUAUUCUUUACUGUAAUUAUAUUCUAGCAUUUACGUUUUUGUAGUUUUGUAGUUUUAUUUUUUAGCUAAUUUGUUUAUAGCUGGUAGUUACAGGUUUCUAUCCUUUUGUAGUGGUGGCACUAUGAACUUGCAGCUAAAAAUUCCUUUUUGCUUGUAUAUAUUCAUACCUCCUGUACAGUUUUUAGCAGCUGAAUGAAAUCAGUCAUUUUUGCUCAGAUUCUAUUCUUUCAUAUUGCUCUUUUGUUCAUGGUAUCAAAGCCUGAAAUCUGAUACUCUUUAAUAUUUCCCACUCUACACGAUUGUUGUUUUCUUUAUGGCUGAUAGAGAAGAGACUCCUACUAGCGUAGAGACAGAAAAUGGGUCUAGAACCGGUAAUAUUACCAGAGAGCAAACCUCCAGCAAAUAUUGAUGAUCCUAUAUAUCUGAAUCAUUCAGAUCACCCAGGGUUAUAGAAGAGAAGGUAUAGGUAGAGGUCAAUACGAGAGUGCAAACAGAAAGGGUGGAUAUACUGGAACAGGAAGGAGAGGAUAUGAAAAGCUAAGCGAAGAAAAGGGAGAGUCCAAGCAUUAUGAUUACUGUGAUAGGGGAUGGUCACAUAAGGGACACAUGCUUCAAGCUGCAUGGAUUUCCAAAAUGGUACAAAGAGCUCAAAGAGCAAAGAUAGAAGAUAGGAAGCAGGGCAGCAGUUAUUAUGGCAGACUCACCUCUUGAUCUUGCAGAAGACACAUCUACAGAAAAAGGCUCACACUCAGGACACGAGUCAACUGACCAGCCUUUUUCAAUAAGAACUUAUGAAAAUUAUUAAAGGGAAACAUUCGGAUGCUAGCCAUGUGAACUUUACACACCUACUGGAUUAUGCAGGAAAGAAAGCUAUAGGCUCAAAGUGGGUCUUUAAACUUAAAUUAAAUCCCGAUGGAAGCAUUGACAGAUAUCAAGCCGGUUAAUAGCUAAGGGCUAUAACCAGGUGGAAGGAGUUGAUUACAAUGAGAGUUUUUCACCAGUGGCCAAACUAACUAUUGUAAGAUUGUUCAUUGUUGUUACAACUGCAAAGACCUGGCUUCUUCAUCAAUUGGACAUAAAAAACGCCUUUUUACAUGGUUGUUUGGAAGAAGAAGUCUAAUUGCUACCUCUAUAAGGAUAUAAGAAGGUUGUUCCAGGUUAGGUUUACAGGCUGCAAAAGUCCUUGUAUGGCGUCAUACAGGCAUCAAGGCAAUGGAAUCAAGAAUUUUGCAAUGAAUUAAAGCUUUUUGGCUUUGUUCAACUAGCAAAUGACCAUUGUCUAUUCAUCAAGCAUUCAGAUAAGUCUUUUCUAGCCCUAUUAGUUUAUAUUGAUGGUGUUCUGCUUACUAAAAAUUCAAAGAUAGAAAUUGAUCUUGUGAAGAAGUUCUUGCAUCAACAAUUUACUAUUAAAGAUAUGGAAAAUGCUAGAUAUUUUUUGGUCUUGAGAUUGCAAGAAGUGCAGCAGGUAUUUACAUAACUCAAAAUACGCUCUUGAUAUAAUUCAAGAUGCAGGGCUUCUGGGAGCAAAACCUACUGCUACAUCUCUUCCAAAAGGGUUCAAAUUCUCUCAAACUCCUACUCCUCUGUCUGACCCUGAUAAAUAUCAAAGAUUGGUGAGCAGACUUCUCUACCUCAACUUGUCUUGCCCUGACAUUACGUAUGUUGUACUUCAACUAAGUCAGCAUGUAAAACUCACCUUGCCAAGAUCAUUGGGAUGCAGCCACCUACCUUUUUAGAUAUCUAAAAGGUUGUCCAUCAAAUGGAUUGUUCUUUUCUAGUUCUAACUCUCUUCAGCUAGAAGAUUUUUUAUAAUGUUGAUUGGGCCUCAUGUACACAAACUAGAAGAUCUUUAACUGGUUACUGUGUAUUUCUCGAUUCAGCGCUCAUUUCAUGGAAGACAAAAAAGCAGACUGUUGUAUCAAGAUCAUUAAUUGAGGCUGAAUACCGUAGUCUUAACAGCACAGUUUGUAAGCUUCAGUGGCUAUCCUAUUUGCUUAAAGACUUUAGUAUUUCCUUACAGCUUCCCAUCUCUCUCCAGUGCGACAACCAAGCAAUAAUGCACAUAGUUCAUAAUCCAGUCUUCCAUGAACAAACUAAGCACUUAGAGAUUGACUAUCACCUGGUUCAUGAUCAAUAUAAGAAGGUUUUGUGCAGCCUCUUUAUAUGUCCCCUCAAAACCAAUUGGCUGAUGUUUGCAAAAGCUUUGGCAGGUCCUCAAUUCUAUGCAUUAUUGUCCAAGUUAGGGUUGAUUGAUCUUCAUCAACCUCCAACUUGAGGGGGGAUAUAAAGAUUUAUUAUUCUCAUUUCUUUAUUAUUUACUGUACUUAUAUUCUAGCAUCUACAGUUUUGUAGUUUUGUAGUUUUAUUUUUAGCUAAUUUGUUUAAUAGCUAGUAGUUAGAGGUUCCUAUCCUUUCGUAGCGGUGGCACUAUGAGAUGGCAGCCAAAAAUUUCC